rnacentral:lncRNA from 1 species
UUACCUUUCUAAUAGUUUAUAACCUUCUUUUGACCAUGAGCCUUCUUCUUUUUCCUUUACUCAUACGAAUUUAGCAAAGUUUCUCCAAGGUUUUUAUCUAAAACCUCACAAUACUCUCAAAAUCACACACUUUGUACUCCUUCCCUCACCUUUAUGUUUCUCACUAUUUUUUUCUCAUCUGGAAUGUCUCUUCCUUAAUUCUCCCAUCCUCUUUUUAUAGGAAU